AGUAAUGUAUGGGGAUCUGCCCGAUAGAGGGGAAUAACUACCGGAAACGGUGGCUAAUACCGCAUAAUGUCUACGGACCAAAGCAGGGGCUCUUCGGACCUUGCACUAUCGGAUGAACCCAUAUGGGAUUAGCUAGUAGGUGGGGUAAAGGCUCACCUAGGCGACGAUCUCUAGCUGGUCUGAGAGGAUGAUCAGCCACACUGGGACUGAGACACGGCCCAG
rnacentral:rRNA from 1 species